AUGGCUGUGCGGCUCUUUCUGGCCCUUCUUUUAUCAUUCUCCUUCCAGCUUUGCUCUUGUGCUCCCCCAUGGCAGAUCAUGACCACUGGCUCAUACAUGACACCAGAAGAUCGUGAGAGAAUCUUUCUCAUCUCACCAGAUACCACCUUCUCUUGUGGCUUCCAUCGAGUUGGAACAAAUGCUUUCACCUUCUCCAUCUGGUACACCACCGUGAAAACGGUUGUCUGGACGGCAAAUCCCUACUCCACGGUGAAUGGCUACUUCUCCCCAGUGAACCUUUACGGCUCCAGGAUAUCUCUGAAACACGAUGGAAACCUGGUCCUGACAGAUAACAAUGGCUCAAUGGUAUGGGAAAGCAAGACAUCUUCAGGCAAGCACACAAUUGUUUCCCUCCUCAACACUGGCAACCUUGUUAUCAGUGAUUCUGGUAAUAAUACUGUAUGGCAGAGCUUUCACACACCAACAGACACCUUGCUCCCUCGGCAAAACUUGACGAAAGACACAAGGUUAGUCUCUGGUUACCAUCACCUCUAUUUUGACAAUGACAAUGUCUUGCGCCUAUUAUAUGAUGGCCCAGAGAUUACAAGCAUCUACUGGCCAAGUCCAGAUUAUAAUGCAUUGAAAAAUGGACGCAAUAGAUAUAACAGCACCAGGGUAGCAUUUCUUGAUGACGAGGGUAAUUUUGUGUCAAGUGAUGGGUUUAAAAUAGAGGCUUCAGAUUCAGGUCCUGGGAUAAAGAGGAGGAUCACAAUUGAUCACGAUGGCAAUUUCAGAAUGUACAGCUUGGAUGUGUCAACAGGGAAUUGGGUGGUCACAGGGCAGGCGGUAAUACAGAUGUGCUAUGUGCACGGAUUAUGUGGUAAGAAUGGGCUUUGUGACUACUCAGGGGGCCUUAAAUGUAGAUGCCCUCCAGAACAUGUGAUGGUUGAUCCAACAGAUUGGAACUAG
rnacentral:rRNA from 1 species